rnacentral:rRNA from 1 species
CCUGGCUCAGAUUGAACGCUGGCGGCAGGCCUAACACAUGCAAGUCGAGCGGUAGCACAGAGAGCUUGCUCUCGGGUGACGAGCGGCGGACGGGUGAGUAAUGUCUGGGAAACUGCCUGAUGGAGGGGGAUAACUACUGGAAACGGUAGCUAAUACCGCAUAACGUCGCAAGACCAAAGUGGGGGACCUUCGGGCCUCAUGCCAUCAGAUGUGCCCAGAUGGGAUUAGCUAGUAGGUGGGGUAACGGCUCACCUAGGCGACGAUCCCUAGCUGGUCUGAGAGGAUGACCAGCCACACUGGAACUGAGACACGGUCCAGACUCCUACGGGAGGCAGCAGUGGGGAAUAUUGCACAAUGGGCGCAAGCCUGAUGCAGCCAUGCCGCGUGURUGAAGAAGGCCUUCGGGUUGUAAAGCACUUUCAGCGGGGAGGAAGGCGUUAAGGUUAAUAACCUUGGCGAUUGACGUUACUCGCAGAAGAAGCACCGGCUAACUCCGUGCCAGCAGCCGCGGUAAUACGGAGGGUGCAAGCGUUAAUCGGAAUUACUGGGCGUAAAGCGCACGCAGGCGGUCUGUCAAGUCGGAUGUGAAAUCCCCGGGCUCAACCUGGGAACUGCAUUCGAAACUGGCAGGCUAGAGUCUUGUAGAGGGGGGUAGAAUUCCAGGUGUAGCGGUGAAAUGCGUAGAGAUCUGGAGGAAUACCGGUGGCGAAGGCGGCCCCCUGGACAAAGACUGACGCUCAGGUGCGAAAGCGUGGGGAGCAAACAGGAUUAGAUACCCUGGUAGUCCACGCCGUAAACGAUGUCGAUUUGGAGGUUGUGCCCUUGAGGCGUGGCUUCCGGAGCUAACGCGUUAAAUCGACCGCCUGGGGAGUACGGCCGCAAGGUUAAAACUCAAAUGAAUUGACGGGGGCCCGCACAAGCGGUGGAGCAUGUGGUUUAAUUCGAUGCAACGCGAAGAACCUUACCUGGUCUUGACAUCCACAGAACUUAGCAGAGAUGCUUUGGUGCCUUCGGGAACUGUGAGACAGGUGCUGCAUGGCUGUCGUCAGCUCGUGUUGUGAAAUGUUGGGUUAAGUCCCGCAACGAGCGCAACCCUUAUCCUUUGUUGCCAGCGGUUCGGCCGGGAACUCAAAGGAGACUGCCAGUGAUAAACUGGAGGAAGGUGGGGAUGACGUCAAGUCAUCAUGGCCCUUACGACCAGGGCUACACACGUGCUACAAUGGCAUAUACAAAGAGAAGCGACCUCGCGAGAGCAAGCGGACCUCAUAAAGUAUGUCGUAGUCCGGAUUGGAGUCUGCAACUCGACUCCAUGAAGUCGGAAUCGCUAGUAAUCGUAGAUCAGAAUGCUACGGUGAAUACGUUCCCGGGCCUUGUACACACCGCCCGUCACACCAUGGGAGUGGGUUGCAAAAGAAGUAGGUAGCUUAACCUUCGGGAGGGCGCUUACCACUUUGUGAUUCAUGACUGGGGUGAAGUCGUACUAGUUAUCCGU